rnacentral:rRNA from 1 species
UCCGUAGGCGGUCUUAUAAGUCAGUGGUGAAAUCCCUUCGCUCAACGGAGGAACUGCCAUUGAUACUGUAAGACUUGAAUUUUUAGGAAGUAACUAGAAUAUGUAGUGUAGCGGUGAAAUGCUUAGAUAUUACAUGGAAUACCAAUUGCGAAGGCAGGUUACUACUAAAUGAUUGACGCUGAUGGACGAAAGCGUGGGGAGCGAACAGGAUUAGAUACCCUCGUA